CAGCUGGGAGCACCACCCAGCCUGGCUCCUGGGGACUCCCUCAGUGCAGGGGAAAUGCUUUCAUCCCUGAUGAUUCUAAGCCAAAGUACAAUUGCCUCCUGCAGGCAGACAAAAGAUUCAUUUGGCACUUUGUGUGGGCUGCCUUGUAUGAUAGCACUUGGCUUCUUGUCAAUGUCGUAUUUCCCCAACUCAAUUUUUAACAAUUGGUAUGAAUUUGAACAGUUAUUAGGUGCAUAUGCUUCAGAAUUCAAAAAGUAUCAGAGAGAUUUAGGAACAAGAAAAAUAAGUCUCUUUCAUUUUGUUCCCCUCUUGGCAGCCACCACUGCUAAUGUUUUUGUUAGUGUUUCCUUCCAGAGAUGUCUACAUAUAUAUAGGUUGAAUAUCCCUUAUCGGAAAUGCUUGGGAACAGAAGUGUUUAGGAUUUCAGAUUUUUUCAGAUUUUGAAAUAUUCGCAUAUACAUAAUGAAAUAUCUUGGGGCUGGAACCCAAGUCUAAAUACGAAAUUUACUUAUGUUUCAUAUACACCUGAUACACAUUGCAUGAAGGGAAUGUUGUAUAAUGUUUUAAAUAAUUUUUUUGUUUUGUUUUGUUUUGUUNNNNNNNNNNNNNNNNNNNNNNNNNNNNNNNNNNNNNNNNNNNNNNNNNNNNNNNNNNNNNNNNNNNNNNNNNNNNNCACCUUCCAAGUUCAAGUGAUUCUCCUGCCUCAGCCUCCCAGGUAGCUGGGAUUACACGUGCCUGCCACCAUGCCGGCUAAUUUUUGUAUUUUUAGUAGAGACAGGGUUUCACCAUGUUGGCCAGGCUGGUCUCAAACUCCUGACCUCAGGUGAUCCUCCCGACUUCAGGUGAUCCUCCCACCUCGGCCUCCCAAAGUGCUGGGAUUAUAGGCCUGAGCCAUCGAGCCCAGCCUAUGUUUUAAAUAAUUUUGUGCAUGAAACAGUUUGUGUAUAUGAGGUCAGGUAUGGAAUUUUCCACUUGUGGCAUCAUGUCAGGUACUCAAAAAGUUUUGAAUUUUUGAACAUUUCACAUUUUGGGUUUUUGGAGUAGGGAUGCUCCAUCUGUACUACCAUGCUUGUAUGCACAUUUAGUAUACACUUUGUUCUACACCUUGUUUUUUCACUUAAUAAUAAAUCUGGAAGAUGGUCCAUAUGAAUACUGUUAGCUAUGCCUCAUUCUAUUUGGUCACAAUAUAACAUUCCAUCAUAUAGCAUACCAACACUUGUUUUACCAGUCUGCUAUUAAUGGGUAUUUAGAUUGUUUCCAAUCUUUUGCUAUUAAAAAGAAUGCUGCAACCCUUGUAUGUAUUUUUUAUGCACAUAUGUAUGACCAUACAUUCUUAGAAUUGAGAUUUCUGGGUCAAAGAUUAUGCAUUUUAAAUCUUGCUCUCUUUAAAAGUCACACCAGGCCGGGCACGGCGGCUCACGCCUGCAAUCCCAGCUACUUGGGAGGCUGAGGCAGGAGAAUUGCUUGAACCCGGGAGGCGGAGGUUGCCGUGAGCCAAGAUCGCACCAUUGCACUCCAGCCUGGGCAAUAAGAGUGAAACUCUGCCUCAAAAAAAAAAAAAAAAAAAAAGUCACAUCAAAUUACCCACCCUCCCACUACCAAUCUAUAAGAAUGCCUGUGCCCUCAGCCUUGCCCAU
rnacentral:lncRNA from 1 species